UACGUAGGCAGCGAGCGUUGUUCGGAAUUACUGGGCGUAAAGAGUGUGUAGGCGGUGCUCUAAGUUCGGUGUGAAAUCUCCUGGCUUAACUGGGAGGGUGCGCCGGAAACUGGAGUGCUCGAGCGUGGGAGAGGAAAGCGGAAUUCCUGGUGUAGCGGUGAAAUGCGUAGAUAUCAGGAGGAACACCUGUGGCGAAAGCGGCUCACUGGACCAUAACUGACGCUGAUGCACGAAAGCUAGGGGAGCAAACAGG
rnacentral:rRNA from 1 species